CUUCGACUGAGAAUGAACUGGACCUCCACACCCAAAUCUUGCUAAACCUGUAAGUCCUGUAGAAAAGGAGCAGUGCAUAAAGAAGAAUCAGUGUGUCAUCAAAGCAAAGCACUGCCAGGACAGAUCUGUCAUACUACUGCAGUUAUCACACUUCAGAUUUGUAAGUUUGUUUUCCUUCCUUAAGACUUGAAUUCAAAAUGAACAAAGUCAAAUAAUGCUGUUGUUUGCUCAAAUACAAGAAGCUGAUUCCCUAAUCUUGUUCACUGUCACCAUGUUAAUGGUUUAAUGUUUAAAUAUCAUACAUGUACAUCUGUUUAAAAUUAUUUAAGGCUUCAGACAGUUAAUAUUGACUUCACUUGGCAGGCUUGACAGUGAAGUUCAAAGUCAGGGUUAGUCACUGCUGUUACAUGAGCUGAAUCUUGACAUGAUAUAACACAGGACCACCUGACCCUUGCUCACUCUGUUUACUUUGUUUAAAUCCCUUUUAGAAAUACAGUAAAUAAAGGAGAGUUUUGAGAAAGUAGACUAAAAUUAGUUCACUUACAUGAGCUCCUCAGGUUCACUGUAGGCCUAUUUAAACAAACGCUCAGCCUCUCCUGUUAAGUUGUACUAUAGUGGGGCCUCUGGUUUCUAAAUUAAUCACCAUUCAGUUAUAAUUAUUUACCUACAUGUAAAGUUAGUUUUGUCUGAGCUCAAUGCACUCAGAAUAAACAAACAGCAAUUUUAAUGUAAUUUGAGCAUGAAGUUUAAACUGUUUCUUAAUUUUAAAAUGAUGCCAAAUGUUGCCACAUUUAUAUAAUAUUUCUCACAUUUUUUUCACAGUUUCUCUGAAGAACAAUGGACGUCAUCACACAGUUACUACAAGCCUCUAAAAUUACAGAGACGCAUCAUUUAAUACAGAG